CGGCGGGGCUCGGUAACGAUGCCUGCAUUGGUUGGCAACCUCCAUGAGGGGGGUGUGUGUUCGUGUCUCUUCCUAGGACUCCACAGGAAUCACGUUCGUGUGUUUAAGCUGCAACCAACACAGUUGUUAGGACGAUCGUCGCAGCCAUCAGGUGCUUGUGUUGUUUAUGAAGUGCUGGGCCAGUUGCUGGGCACCGGACAACAGAACGUUCUUUGAUACCGGAAAGGUCCUGUAUCUGCCCUGUCCAGCAGGGGAGCCACCAGCCUCCUGUGAGCCUCUACCGUGGGGACUGGAUCUCCCACCUCCGGGAAGCACCGGGUAAGUCCUGGCUGUGGGGGAACAGACAUCCCCUUCUGUUGAGUUGACAGGCGCAGGCAGCGGGGAGCAGAACUGACCUCCAAACGGCACGGCUGGCUUUGCUCUACGAGGAGUCCCGUCCCUCCACGUCCCACCCCCUUCCCGGGACCUGGCACGUGGGCACUGAUUGGACAUUUGGCACUCGAGGCCGCUCCGCUCGCCAGCUCCCACCCACCUGCCUCCCUCCCUCCUCAAUUAACUCAGCAGCAGCGACUUUGUUUCCCUUUGCCAAGAUCGGGAGCUGGCAUCCCGGCAUGUGCCAGCCCCAGUGGGGUGGAGGUGACGGGCGCCACACGCCUGGCACUGCCCCUCAUCGGAGCAGCCUCCCCGCUACAGAACCUCAGGUCCCUGGGGAGCUGCCGGCUGGCCGGGCGACAGGCCCCGGGCUCAGGGAUCUGCGUGGUAGUUAAGCCUGAGUUGAGUUAGUGCAGGCUGGGUUGUGGCUCCUCCCAGGAUCUGCCAAGGGCGGGCGGGCAGGGGACGUCUCCAUCCUGGGAAGGGCUGGCCGGCAGCCCAGGGGGCGGGGCGGGACGGGAGAGGGAGAAGGAGGGGCAGAGGCUCCUCUCCAAUUAACAGGGGAGGGAGGGUGGGGCCCCCCCUGUUGUGUCCUCAGAGGGCUCCUCCAGGCUCUGCCGGCUAAACCUCUGUGGCCCCUCUGUCCCAGGCCUGCCAUCGAGGCAUCCGUCUUCCGUGCACUCACCUGCGGGGAGGUGUGGGCGGAUGAGCAGCCUCCCAAGCCCCGAGCCCAGCCCCCAAGUCCCAACCCCCCGGGGGCUGCAUUUUGAACAAUUCCCCCAAGGUGACCCUGAAGCCGUGGUCCGCGGGCCACGUUCUGAGAACACUGCCCUAGUCCUCCCACCAGGGAGUGGCCGGGCUGGAGGGGACCCCUGCCUCAGCUGGUCCAGGCCCCGGUGGUAUAGACUUGUAGACAGAGGCCCAGAGACCGAGCGGGGCGACCCAUGGCAGCUGGCCACACGGUGCGGGCUGAAGUCGAGGAAAGAGCUCCAGACUCUCCUCUGCAUCCCACAGCCAGGACCGAGUGCCGAGACAGAAGGCGACCCCGGGGGAGUCGUGCGGACACUCCACUGCCCCUAAACGUCCAGGAGGUGAGGUGCCUAUCCAAGAGAAGGGCUGAGUCCCUGGGGACCAUGCCCAGACCCCCUCCCCCCACCCGAACCACCUGACCGCGGAGAAGCCACCUGACCUCGGCCUGUCCCAACCCUGCAGGUGACCCUUCCUGGCCCAGGUGACCCUGACCGGGGCCCAGAGGCCCUGCUCUGACAGGCAGAUGCUACCUGGGAGACAGGGCCAGCGCGGACACAGGACUGUGGGACAGUGUGCCUGUCAGUAUGGUUCCUCUGCUCGCCCCUAAAAUGGCCCCUGGUGGCUGAAGGAAUAAACGCGGAGAAGUACCUGGCACACGGA
rnacentral:lncRNA from 1 species